AAAGACUCAAUUCCUAAGUUUCCGUAUCCAACGUUUAAUUAUCCGUUUUAUAUGAAAUUUUUUUAUAAUUAGUAUUUUUAUCGUUGUUAAAUGAUAAAACAUGAAUAAUACUUUAUACGUGAUUUAUCUUUUUAAUUUUUUUUAUAAUUUUUUUAAAUAAGAUGAACGGUUAAAGGUCGUAACUAUCGAUCUGAGACACGUCCC
rfam:Oryza sativa Japonica Group DNA, chromosome 11, cultivar: Nipponbare, complete sequence.